rnacentral:rRNA from 1 species
CACUAUGCUUAGCCUUAAACCCAGAUGCACCCUUACAUUCACAUCCGCCAGGGUACUACAAGCACAGCUUAAAACCCAAAGGACUUGGCGGUGCCUCAGACCCACCUAGAGGAGCCUGUUCUAGAACCGAUAACCCCCGUUAAACCUCACCACUUCUUGUUUCCCCCGCCUAUAUACCGCCGUCGUCAGCUUACCCUGUGAAGGCCCAACAGUAAGCAAAAUGGGCUCACCCAAAAACGUCAGGUCGAGGUGUAGCGUACGAAGUGGGAAGAAAUGGGCUACAUUGCCUGUGAUAACAGGAUACUACGGACGGCACUCUGAAACUAGUGCCCAAAGGUGGAUUUAGUAGUAAAAAACAAAUAGAGAGUCUUUUUGAAUUAGGCUCUGAAGCGCGCACACACCGCCCGUCACUCUCCCCUACCCCCUCUAAACUUAACAUUCCUAAUAACACAAAUCCUGCUACGGGGAGGCAAGUCGUAA